AAGUAUUACUAAUCUUUGUUAGACCACAAUAAUGUUGAUGUUGUUCAUCAAACUGGUAAAUGUUGGCUUUUGGUACAGAAUGUACCCGGUAAUUGUAGCAAAGAAAGUUUUAGUGAUAAAACAGUAUGGAAAGAUUUCCAGCUAUCAUUACUUAGUAAUCUUCAAUAUAUCAUCAACAGAAAAUUAGUAAUUACUGAGGAAAGGAAAGACUUCCCUUCUCAAGCAAAUAUCUUUGGCAAUUUUUCCUUUUAAAACAAGACAAUUUCCUUCUGAAAGGGUAUCACAGUCUUUUCAACGAGUUUUUAAUCUUAUUGAAUAUUUAAAAAUUGCUUUAAGCGAACAAUUUGUAUUCAAAAAGUACAUAUACUCACAUCAAAUCUUGGAUUUUAUACACAACGGACUGAAAGUAAACUCCAAACAAACAAAUAACUUUCGAGUUGAUCAUGCAUAUUUUGAAAGCUUUU